rnacentral:rRNA from 1 species
UACGUAGGGUGCGAGCGUUGUCCGGAAUUAUUGGGCGUAAAGAGCUUGUAGGCGGUUUGUCGCGUCUGCCGUGAAAUUUCGGGGCUCAACCCCGAACUUGCGGUGGGUACGGGCAGACUAGAGUGUGGUAGGGGAGACUGGAAUUCCUGGUGUAGCGGUGAAAUGCGCAGAUAUCAGGAGGAACACCGAUGGCGAAGGCAGGUCUCUGGGCCACUACUGACGCUGAGAGGCGAAAGCGUGGGGAGCGAACGGG